rnacentral:rRNA from 1 species
UGAGGGAUAUUGCGCAAUGGGGGAAACCCUGACGCAGCGACGCCGCGUGGGCGAUGAAGGCUUUCGGGUCGUAAAGCCCUUUUCCCACUGAGGAGAACGGACAGUAGGUGGGGAAUAAGUCUCGGCUAACUACGUGCCAGCAGCCGCGGUAAAACGUAGGAGGCGAGCGUUAUCCGGAUUCACUGGGCGUAAAGCGCGUGCAGGCGGUUCGGUAAGUUGGGCGUGAAAUCUCCCGGCUCAACUGGGAGAGGUCGUUCAAUACUACCGGACUUGAGAGCGAUAGAGGAAAAUGGAAUUCCCGGUGUAGUGGUGAAAUGCGUAGAUAUCGGGAGGAACACCAGUGGCGAAAGCGAUUUUCUGGAUCGUUUCUGACGCUCAGACGCGAAAGCUAGGGUAGCAAACGGGAUUAGAUACCCGAGUAG